CUAAGAUGGGUUUGAUCAAGCUCAGUCCCUUUCUUGGAUAGUCCAAAAUCAGUAAUUUUUGCCACAAAAUUCUCAUCAAGCAAUAUGUUUAUAGACUUGACAUCACGAUGUAUAACUGCGCUAGUAUGAAGGUAGUGAAGACCUCUGGCUGCCCCGAUGCAUAUCUCCAGCCUCUGCUCCCAGCUCAAAGUGGGUAGAUUUGAGCCAUACAAAUGGCUACGGAGAUUCCCAUUCUCCAUGUAGUCAUAAAUUAGAAUCAUCUCAUUUCUUUCAUUACAGUAUCCAAUCAAUGAAACCAGAUAGGGAUAACGGAACUGAGAGAGCGUCUCAAUUUCUUUUAGAAACUCGGCAGGACCUUG